rnacentral:rRNA from 1 species
CUAAGAAUAUUCCGCAAUGGACGAAAGUCUGACGGAGCGACGCCGCGUGGAUGAUGAAGGCCGGAAGGUUGUAAAUCCUUUUAUGACUGAGGAAUAAGUGAAGUGAGGGAAACGCUUCAUGGUGACUGUAGGUCAUGAAUAAGCAACGGCUAAUUACGUGCCAGCAGCCGCGGUAACACGUAAGUUGCGAGCGUUGUUCGGAAUUAUUGGGCGUAAAGGGUAUGUAGGCGGUUCUGCAAGUCUGGUGUGAAAUGCCGGGGCUCAACCCCGGAACUGCGCUUGGAACUGGCGGACUGGAGUCGCUGAGGGGGAACCGGAAUUCCUGGUGUAGGGGUGAAAUCUGUAGAUAUCAGGAAGAACACCGAUGGCGAAGGCAGGUUUCCAGCAGACGACUGACGCUGAGGUGCGAAGGUGCGGGGA